rnacentral:rRNA from 1 species
GAUGAACGCUGGCGGCGUGCCUAAUACAUGCAAGUCGAGCGAACGGACGAGAAGCUUGCUUUUCUGAUGUUAGCGGCGGACGGGUGAGUAACACGUGGAUAACCUACCUAUAAGACUGGGAUAACUUCGGGAAACCGGAGCUAAUACCGGAUAAUAUUUUGAACCGCAUGGUUCAAAAGUGAAAGACGGUCUUGCUGUCACUUAUAGAUGGAUCCGCGCUGCUUUAGCUAGUUGGUAAGGUAACGGCUUACCAAGGCAACGAUGCAUAGCCGACCUGAGAGGGUGAUCGGCCACACUGGAACUGAGACACGGUCCAGACUCCUACGGGAGGCAGCAAUAGGGAAUCUUCCGCAAUGGGCGAAAGCCUGACGGAGCAACGCCGCGUGAGUGAUGAAGGUCUUCGGAUCGUAAAACUCUGUUAUUAGGGAAGAACAUAUGUGUAAGUAACUGUGCACAUCUUGACGGUACCUAAUCAGAAAGCCACGGCUAACUACGUG